AGAACACAGCAGAAAGGGAAUUGGAAGGAUUAAAGGAGUCAGAGGAGUCAGGGACACCUCAAGAACAUGAAAUACACAAUGAACUAAGCCGUGAAUCGACGUACAGAGACUGCGUGGGUCUGAGGCUAUUCAUCUACAUUCCUGUUUUGUGCUAGUGACAUUCUGUUUCUGAGCUGUUUUUGAAAUAGAAUUUGAAAUCAGGCACACAUGGUUUUACUAAAAACAAGAGAGACUUUGAAAAGCCCACAAAAAUAAUCAUCAGCUUUGAUCUGAUGUCACCAGAAUAGGCCUCUAUGUAGCACCAGAGGAGAAUUCUUCACUCUCGAGUCUGGGCUCGGCAACUCUGCAAAGGAGUUCAGAGAUCCACAAUCAAAGCCUUCAAUGGGAGCAGAGAAAUGACAUAAGAGCCAUUUCAGCGAGACCAGAGAGCUGAGCUCCAGGAGACAAAGACAAGAAAAGAAAAGCAGAAUGCUGUCUGAAAAUGGAAUUGUUGACAGAAUGACCCAAGUAAUACCAAUUAGGCUUGGUGGAUAGUACAGCAGGGAGAAGCUCUUCUUGUCUCUUCUGAGUCCCUGGAAUAUACCAGAAAUCUUAGAUGUAUUAUGUUCAACACAAAACAUCCUCAAAAUGUGAUGAAGUAAAAGGCAUAAAAAUGUACCUAUAUGAACACAUAUGUAUGUGCUUUGUAUAUUUAUGACCCCACAUGUGUGGGCUUAUGUAUGUAUAUACAAUUACAUGUGUAUAUGCCCCAGAAACAUUUUCUUAAAAUAUUAAAAAGAAAUAAUUUUCUACAUUCAUUUCCACUUUUCAGUUAUUUGGGAGAUAAAUAUAUUGAAGACAUUCAUGAACAGUUUUUGCUGCAUUUGGGCUUAUUGUAUGUCCAACAAGACUUAAACCUGCUGUGAGUGUCUCAGACCUUAACCAGAAAAUUAAAUGAGGCACUUUAAGCAAAAAUACCUCAAGGAAGUUUUGAAAACAUCUGAUAUGUUGUAUAUAAGUAAAAUGGUAUAUUUGCAUAUGAUGUUGUGUAAACUUAAUAUUCUCUAGCAUGCGAUACAAUGGAAAGUAAGUACAUAAAGAAACAUCCAAUCACACAACAUGAUCAUAUAUUUAUAGUUUUUAUUUCUUCCUGUUCAGAGGGAUGAAAAAUAGGGAGGAAAUAUUUGUAAAAUCUUCUUGUAUGCUAUAUAUUUUGUUUGCCAAUUGAGGAGUCAAUUUCAAGUAAAUAUUGAGUAACUGCAUUACAUCAAGUCUCCCUAAGAAAAGUGUAAAACCCAUUCCUGGUCACAAGGUUAAUUAAAAAAAAAACAAAAAACAGGAGAACCCAAAGAAAAACAGAUAGGCAUCCUCCUGAAUAUUAACCUUCAUCAGGCGAUGAAAGGUGACAGAGACCCACAUUGGAGCACCGGACUGAAAUCUCAAGGUCCAAACCAGGAGAAGAAGGAGAGAGAGCACGAGCAAGGAACUCAGGACCGCGAGGGGUGCACCCACACACUGAGACAAUGGGGAUGUUCUAUCGGGAACUCACCAAGGCCAGCUGGCCUAGAUCUGAAAAAGCCUGGGAUAAAACUGGACUCGCUGAACAUAGUGGACAAUGAGGACUACUGAGACUCAAGAACAAUGGCAAUAGGUUUUUGAUCCUACUGCACGUACUGGCUUUGUGGGAGCCUAGGCAGUUUGGAUGCUCACCUUACUAGACCUGGAUGGAGGUGGGUGGCCCUUGGACUUCCCACAGGGCAUGGAAC